GAUGAACGCUAGCGGCAGGCUUAAUACACGCAAGUCGAGGGGUAGCAAGAUUGUAGCAAUACAAUUGUUGACGACCGGCAAACGGGUGCGGAACACGUACACAACCUUCCUACAAGUGGGGAAUAGCCCAGAGAAAUUUGGAUUAAUACCCCGUAACAUAGCGAUGUGGCAUCACAUUGCUAUUAUAGAUUCGGCGCUUGUUGAUGGGUGUGCGGCUGAUUAGAUAGUUGGCGGGGUAACGGCCCACCAAGUCUACGAUCAGUAGCUGAUGUGAGAGCAUGAUCAGCCACACGGGCACUGAGACACGGGCCCGACUCCUACGGGAGGCAGCAGUAAGGAAUAUUGGACAAUGGACGCAAGUCUGAUCCAGCCAUGCCGCGUGAAGGAUUAAGGUCCUCUGGAUUGUAAACUUCUUUUAUAAGGGACGAAAAAAGGUCUUUCUAGAUCGUCUGACGGUACCUUAUGAAUAAGCACCGGCUAACUCCGUGCCAGCAGCCGCAGUAACAC
rnacentral:rRNA from 1 species